rnacentral:rRNA from 1 species
UACGAGGGGGGCGAGCGUUGUUCGGAAUUAAUUUGGGCGUAAAGGGUGCGUAGGCGGUUCCGCAAGUCCUGUGUGAAAUCUUCGGGCUCAACUCGAAGUCUGGCACGGGAAACUGCGGGGCUUGAGUGUGGGAGAGGUGAGUGGGAAUUCCCGGGUGUAGGCGGUGAAAUGCGUAGAUAUCGGGAAGGAACACCUGUGGC